CCUGCCCCUAGAGGCCUUGCAGAUGUGACUGCUGUGUCAUCUGUAUGUCAGUAGGUGGCAGAGAGAAGAGAGGCUAUUUCUAUAAUCACUGUUCUGACCAAUGGACAUCUGAAUGAUUAGUAGGCUAACACU